UACGUAGGGUGCAAGCGUUGUCCGGAAUUAUUGGGCGUAAAGAGCUCGUAGGUGGUUCGGUAAGUCGGAUGUGAAAUCUCCAGGCUCAACCUGGAGGGGUCAUUCGAUACUGCCGUGACUAGAGGUCGGUAGGGGAGUGUGGAAUUCCCGGUGUAGCGGUGAAAUGCGUAGAGAUCGGGAGGAACACCAGUGGCGAAGGCGGCUACCUGGACCAGCACUGACACUGAGGCACGAAAGCGUGGGGAGCAAACAGG
rnacentral:rRNA from 1 species